rnacentral:rRNA from 1 species
UGGGGAAUAUUGGACAAUGGGCGCAAGCCUGAUCCAGCCAUGCCGCGUGAGUGACGAAGGCCUUAGGGUUGUAAAGCUCUUUUGGCGGGGAAGAUAAUGACGGUACCCGCAGAAUAAGCUCCGGCUAACUUCGUGCCAGCAGCCGCGGUAAUACGAAGGGAGCUAGCGUUGUUCGGAAUCACUGGGCGUAAAGCGCACGUAGGUGGACAUUUAAGUCAGGGGUGAAAGCCCGAGGCUCAACCUCGGAAUUGCCUCUGAUACUGGGUGUCUAGAGUUCGAGAGAGGUGAGUGGAAUUCCUAGUGUAGAGGUGAAAUUCGUAGAUAUUAGGAAGAACACCGGUGGCGAAGGCGGCUCACUGGCUCGAUACUGACACUGAGGUGCGAAAGCGUGGGGAGCAAACAGGAUUAGAUACCCCCGUAGUCCCUGAGCGGGC